ACAACCCUCAGGCCCCCUGGUGCCUGGUGUUGGGGCACUACAGCACGCUGUAGGCCCUGAAAUCCAGUGGCGGGACCGCUGAAAACCCGGGCGUAGUAACUUUACGUCGUCUAGGGCGUUCCGGCGGACCCCAGCCGUUAAACCCACCAAAUUAUCAU
rnacentral:misc_RNA from 1 species